AGCGAACGCUGGCGGCAGGCCUAAUACAUGCAAGUCGAGCGCACCUUCGGGUGAGCGGCGGACGGGUGAGUAACGCGUGGGAACGUGCCCUUUGGUACGGGAUAACUGAGGGAAACUUCAGCUAAUACCGUAUGUGCCCUACGGGGGAAAGAUUUAUCGCCAUUGGAGCGGCCCGCGUUGGAUUAGGUAGUUGGUGAGGUAAAGGCUCACCAAGCCUACGAUCCAUAGCUGGUCUGAGAGGAUGAUCAGCCACACUGGGACUGAGACACGGCCCAGACUCCUACGGGAGGCAGCAGUAGGGAAUCUUGCGCAAUGGGCGAAAGCUUGACGCAGCCAUGCCGCGUGAAUGAUGAAGGUCUUAGGAUUGUAAAAUUCUUUCACCGGGGAAGAUAAUGACGGUACCCGGAGAAGAAGCCCCGGCUAACUUCGUGCCAGCAGCCGCGGUAAGAC
rnacentral:rRNA from 1 species